UUCGUAGGCGGUGCGGUGUGUCGGGAGUGAAAUCUCUGGGCUUAACCCAGAGGCUGCUUCCGAAACUGCCGUGCUCGAGUGCGGGAGAGGCCAGUGGAAUUGCAGGUGUAGCGGUGAAAUGCGUAGAUAUCUGCAGGAACACCCGUGGCGAAGGCGGCUGGCUGGACCGCAACUGACGCUGAGGAACGAAAGCUGGGGGAGCAAACAGGAUUAGAUACCCUGGUAGUCCUAGCCCUAAACGAUCAGGACUUGGGGUGCAUCCCGUUGGGGGUGCGUCCCGUAGCUAACGCGUUAAGUCCUGCGCCUGGGGAGUACGGUCGCAAGGCUGAA
rnacentral:rRNA from 1 species